rnacentral:lncRNA from 1 species
CUAAUAAAAAAAAAAAUCAGUGGAGAUAGUGGUCGGAUACAACUGAAAUAACCGCACGCCGUUUUGGAUAAACCUUACCUAUCUCUCUAGAACCGUUCCGGCAUAUUUGCUAUAUAUCAAUAAAACGUUUGAAAGAAUAAACUAAGGUAAAUCCAAAAAUACUAUUGACACGAUUUACAGGAAAUCUGGUCUGCUUGCUACCACAUCUCCUCUCUCUGCCAUCUUCAGUGCCUCCUGAAUGGCCCUGCAGGAAACCCCAAGAUGAGCUGGAGAAGCUCCAGUCAGCGGUCUCCCACGUUAAAGGACAGUUUAUUAACUCCACCUCUUCACCCUCCAACUUUGGAAACAUCCAGAGUCAGGGUGUGCCGGACAGACUGGAGCAGACCCUGGACCCGAGGUGUGUUCUGAGGGAGGCAGGUGCAUUCUCCUCCCUGCCCCUCCAACGCCACCUGGUUGUAGAGGAUGAGUCUACUAAUCAGCAGGGACAGGUCUUGAUUCAUUUCUACAUGAUAUAUUUCUAGAUUAUUAUUUGAUUCUUAUCAUUUAAUGGUAAACAGCAAGUGUUGAAGUUAUAAUUUCUAACUGCCUCUGAAUCUGAGCUGGUGGAGGGUCUCCGGGUUCAGCUGGUGCCCAAGCUGCCUCCUCUGGACCGUUCUGGUGGCCAAGCGCUGAGUCCACAUGGACCUCCAGGGGGUGUUUGUCCAUUUGACCAUAGUCACCCUUCGCAUCCUGAACAACACCCCUUGGGUGGCCGUGGAUACCUGCGCUGCACUUCCACUGUGCACCACCAGGCGGCCGGUGCUGCAGCUCAAGAGCAACGUUUUGAGGAAGUUUGAAUCAGCCCCACAGGUGAACAUUCAUCCCUUCCCUGCAUUUGUACUUUGCAUUUGUGCAAAUAGCAUUUGUUUGUUUUUCCUGC